CCAAUAGCGUAUAUUAAAGUUGUUGCAGUUAAAAAGCUCGUAGUUGAAUUUCGGGAUUAAUUUACUGGUCGUGCUAUUGUACGUACUGGUUUUAUUGAUUCCUCCCUUCUGACGAACUAUGAUGCCAUUAAUUUGGUGUCAUAGGGAAUCAGGACUGUUACUUUGAAAAAAUUAGAGUGUUUAAAGCAGGCUCACGCUUGAAUACAUUAGCAUGGAAUAACGGAAUAGGACGUUUGAUUCUAUUUUGUUGGUUUCUAGGAUCGACGUAAUGAUUAAUAGGGAUAGUUGUGGGCAUUAGUCUUCAAUUGGCAGAGGUGAAAUUCUUUGAUUUAUUGAAGACUAACUACUGCGAAAGCAUUUGCCAAGGAUGUUUUCAUUAAUCAAGAACGAAAGUUAGGGGAUCGAAGACGAUCAGAUACCGUCGUAGUCUUAACCAUAAACUAUGCCGACUAGGGAUCGGAUGAUGUUAAUUUUUUAAUGACUCAUUCGGCGCCUUACG
rnacentral:rRNA from 1 species